GACGAACGCUGGCGGCGUGCUUAACACAUGCAAGUCGAACGGAAAGGCCCUGCUUUUGUGGGGUGCUCGAGUGGCGAACGGGUGAGUAACACGUGAGUAACCUGCCCUUGACUUUGGGAUAACUUCAGGAAACUGGGGCUAAUACCGGAUAGGAGCUCCUGCUGCAUGGUGGGGGUUGGAAAGUUUCGGCGGUUGGGGACGGACUCGCGGCUUAUCAGCUUGUUGGUGGGGUAGUGGCUUACCAAGGCUUGGACGGGUAGCCGGCCUGAGGGGGUGACCGGCCCAAUGGGACUCGGGGACGGGCCCGGAGCCCACGGGGGGGAAGGGGGGGGAAAAUUGGCCAGAGGGGGGGAGGCCGUGGCGAGCAACGCCGGGGGGGGAAGAGCGGCUUUGGGGUUGAAACCCCUUUUCCCGUGGGGGUAAGGGGGGUGACGGUAAAUGGGAAAAAAACCACGGCUAACUACGUG
rnacentral:rRNA from 1 species